rnacentral:tRNA from 1 species
GGUUCCAUAGUGUGGUGGUUAGCGCGUGUGCUUUACAUGCAGAAGGUCCUGGGUUCGCACCCCAGUGGAGCCA